CCUACGGGAGGCAGCAGUGAGGAAUAUUGGUCAAUGGACGAGAGUCUGAACCAGCCAAGCAGCGUGAAGGAUGAAUGCCCUCUGGGUUGUAAACUUCUUUUAUAUGGGAAUAAAAUGUUCCACGUGUGGGUUUUUGUAUGUACCAUAUGAAUAAGGAUCGGCUAACUCCGUGCCAGCCGCCGAGGUAAUACGGGGGAUGCAAGCGUUAUCCGGAUUUAUUGGGUUUAAAGGGUGCGUAGGCUGUGAGGUAAGUCAGCGGUGAAAUGCCCCCGCUCAACGGGGUGAAGUGCCAUGGAUACUGCCUGGCUGGAGUGCGGAUGCCGUGGGAGGAAUGUGUGGUGUAGCGGUGAAAUGCAUAGAUAUCACACAGAACACCGAUUGCGAAGGCAUCUCACGAAUCCGCGAUUGACGCUGAUGCACGAAAGCGUGGGUAUCAAACAGGAUUAGAUACCCGAGUAGUC
rnacentral:rRNA from 1 species